AUUGAACGCUGGCGGCAUGCCUUACACAUGCAAGUCGAACGCCCCGCAAGGGGAGUGGCAGACGGGUGAGUAACGCGUGGGAACAUACCCUUUUCUACGGAAUAGCUCUGGGAAACUGGAAUUAAUACCGUAUACGCCCUACGGGGGAAAGAUUUAUCGGGGAAGGAUUGGCCCGCGUUGGAUUAGCUAGUUGGUGGGGUAAAGGCCUACCAAGGCGACGAUCCAUAGCUGGUCUGAGAGGAUGAUCAGCCACAUUGGGACUGAGACACGGCCCAAACUCCUACGGGAGGCAGCAGUGGGGAAUUUUGGACAAUGGGCGCAAGCCUGAUCCAGCCAUGCCGCGUGAGUGAUGAAGGUCUUAGGAUUGUAAAAUUCUUUCACCGGGGACGAUAAUGACGGUACCCGGAGAAGAAGCCCCGGCUAACUUCGUGCCAGCCGCCGCGGUAAUAC
rnacentral:rRNA from 1 species